UGGGGAAUAUUGGACAAUGGGGGCAACCCUGAUCCAGCCAUGCCGCGUGAGUGAUGAAGGCCUUCGGGUUGUAAAGCUCUUUUGGCGGGGACGAUGAUGACGGUACCCGCAGAAUAAGCCCCGGCUAACUUCGUGCCAGCAGCCGCGGUAAGACGAAGGGGGCUAGCGUUGUUCGGAAUUACUGGGCGUAACGCGCGUGUAGGCGGUUGCCAAAGUCGGGUGUGGAAGCCUUGAGCUCAACUCAAGAAUAGCGCUCGAUACUUGGUGGCUAGAGGACCGGAGAGGAUAGUGGAAUUCCCAGUGUAGUGGUGAAAUACGUAGAGAUUGGGAAGAACACCAGUGGCGAAGGCGGCUAUCUGGACGGUUACUGACGCUAAGACGCGAAAGCGUGGGGAGCAAACA
rnacentral:rRNA from 1 species